AUUUGUCACGUGAUUUUUUUCGGACCAAAGCAAGCUUUGAAGCAGUGGUUCUAUGGAAUUGUAGUUCAGGGUUCGAAGCACGCAUCGAAGCUUCAGUGUCACACUGCCAUCACUAGCUGCAUGGACUUUCUGUGUGUUUCCUAAUGAUGUGUGCAUUCUUGAGGAAAUAUAAACACAAGAUGGCAGCAAGCCAGGAUGAGCUCGUCCCCAAAAAAGGCACAGUGUCGUCGGUGGUUUGGAACUGGUUUGGUUUUGUGGUGUCCAAGAGCGAACAAACCACGACGCACUGCAAAGUUUGUUUGAAAGCUGUUGCAACCGACCAAUUUAUUCCAGCACCUCAAGCAGAGGCAUGCAGCCGAGUGGGAGAAAUGUUGCUGUCUGCGAGAUAUACAGGACCGCAGCCCACAAACACUCGCUAAAAAACAGUCUACAAAAAAAACGAUGUAAAUCGGGUUUGGUGUGAAAAAAUCUGAGAUUUUAUUUUUAAGCCAUAUCGCCCAGCCCUAAUUCCACCACUAAUAUUGCAUCUUUGUUGUUGUAUUAUGCUGAAGUAGCAGUUUGCAUAUAAGUUAGGGAUAUUAUUGGUGAACCUUAAUAUCUUAUCCAUUUGUCUCGUAAAUCCCCCACCCGAGUUGCUCUGCCACGAGAACGUGACGUAAUUGCCUGGCUUGUACCACUUAUAGCGUUACAGUUGUCUUUCCAUGGAAUGGCGCCAGCGACAACGGCAGCCUGUCAUGGCAGCUCCUUUUCAUUGUUGUAGUUUUAGUGUGUUUUCAGUGUGUUUUUGCUAUUUUGAACUCUUUUCUUACUUUCUUACUUUCUUACUACUUUGUUCACGUCGCCUAAAUACUUUUUUGGCGUUUUUGAGCACUUUUUAUUUUUUGUUUAUGCUGGUCUCCAUGGCGACGGGGAGUCGCAUUGUUUUCACCCGCGAUCAGAUGAUCGCCCUGAGGCCCCCUAGCAUCCUGACCGGAGAGAGACCCUCCAUACUGGAGGAGCUGAGGAGACGAUGAGGCUGCAGAGCGGGGGUUAAACGGAGGAUGAAGAAGAGGAGCUUUAAAUUCUACAUCCCUGCAAUCAUCGAGCAGAUACCGGACUCCAACGUCACCAUUCCCGGCUUCCAGAGGGUUCGAGCCGUCAGGGACACCACCGCGACCGGCAUGAAGAAAGGAGGGGGACUAUCCGUGCUCAUAAACAACAGGUGGUGUAACGCCGGGCACGUCUGUGUGAAAGAGCGUCUGCAGCCCGGACAUCAAGCUCGUCGCCAUCGGACUUCGUCCUUCAUCAUCAUCAUCACUGUUUACAUUUAUGAUGUCUUAUUUAUUCUCCUGUACAGCAUUUUGGUCAACUUUGGUUGUUUUUAAAGUGCUUAACAAAUAAAGUUGGAUUGGAUUGGA